rnacentral:rRNA from 1 species
AAGAGACAGCAGUCGCCGCGGGAAUACGAAGGGGGCUAGCGUUGCUCGGAAUCACUGGGCAUAAAGGGUGCGUAGGCGGGUCUUUAAGUCAGGGGUGAAAUCCUGGAGCUCAACUCCAGAACUGCCUUUGAUACUGAAGAUUUUGAGUUCGGGAGAGGUGAGUGGAACUGCGAGUGUAGAGGUGAAAUUCGUAGAUAUUCGCAAGAACACCAGUGGCGAAGGCGGCUCACUGGCCCGAUACUGACGCUGAGGCACGAAAGCGUGGGGAGCAAACAGGAUUAGAUACCCCCGUAGUCCCUGUCUCUUAUAC